AGCAGCCGCGGUAAUUCCAGCUCCAAUAGCGUAUAUUAAAGUUGUUGCAGUUAAAAAGCUCGUAGUUGAAUUUCGGGAUCAAUAUAUCGGUCGUGCCUUGGUACGUACUGGUAUCAUUGGUUUCUCCUUUCUGACGAACCAUGAUGUCAUUAAUUUGGUGUUAUGGGAAGUUAGGACUGUUACUUUGAAAAAUUAGAGUGUUUAAAGCAGGCUUUAGCUUGAAUACAUUAGCAUGGAAUAAUGAAAUAGGACGUUCGAACCUAUUUUGUUGGUUUCUAGGAUCAACGUAAUGAUUAAUAGGGAUAGUUGGGGGCAUUAGUAUUCAAUUGUCAGAGGUGAAAUUCUUGGAUUUAUUGAAGACUAACUACUGCGAAAGCAUUUGCCAAGGAUGUUUUCAUUAAUCAAGAACGAAAGUUAGGGGAUCGAAGACGAUCAGAUACCGUCGUAGUCUUAACCAUAAACUAUGCCGACUAGGGAUCGGAUGAUGUUAAUUUUUUAAUGACUCAUUCGGCGCCUUACG
rnacentral:misc_RNA from 1 species